rnacentral:rRNA from 1 species
UAAGAAAGGGGCUAGCGUUGUUCGGAAUUACUGGGCGUAAAGCGCACGUAGGCGGCCUUGUAAGAUGGGGGUGAAAUCACCGGGCUCAACCCGGGAAUUGACUUCAUGACUGCAAAGCUCGAGGAUGCGAGAGGUGAAUGGAAUUCCGAGUGUAGAGGUGAAAUUCGUAGAUAUUCGGAAGAACACCAGUGGCGAAGGCGAUUCACUGGCGCAUUUCUGACGCUGAGGUGCGAAAGCGUGGGGAGCAAACAGG